rnacentral:lncRNA from 1 species
GACUGCGGCUGCUGCGGGCUUCCGCCUUGGCACAAUGGACGGAGAGCAGUAACCGAAGGAAGGACAGGAGCCGGCAAGCGGGCGGGGCAAGGGGCGAGAAGGCACGACCGGCGAGAGCCUUUGGCCCGAAGAAGAGCUGCUGUUAUUCCCGUCGAAGGAAAGAGUAAACAGUUAUUACAAUGGGCGAUGCUGCAAAAUCUUGCUAUACGAGACGUAAUAAGGACUGGGGACUUACAAAUGAGGAGGAUUUCCAGAAAUGUGCUUCACGUCAAGUGAUGGACGAUUGUGGAAAUGGACACAGUAGCAAAGUGGACACCAGAUUUGAAAAAAGAAAGGGAACAUCAAGUGAUUAUGGAACAAGUCCUAGAAAGGGAGCACAUGCUGCUUUGAAUAGUCCAAAUUCUUCAAAAAACAUUGUUUACAAUCAAGGGGCAAGAAUAAAUGAUUCUUCAAAAGACCAAAUUAAGAAAUGGGUGUCUGACAACCAUCAAGCUAAUUCCAGCAGUUGGAGAGAAUUCAAAUCCACAGCCCGGAUACCUGUGAUUAUCAGACCACGGAAAGAGUUUCCUCAUGAAUGUGAGAGUUUUGGAGGCAGAAGUGGAAGAAGGCAGCUCUUUAGAGACCUCACAAGUGAAGAUUUAUCUGAUAGAAAAGGAAAUUCUGAAAUGAAGAAACAUAGGAAACCAAGGAGAUCAAGAAGAAUAAAAAAAGAAGACAAUGAUCAGGAUGAUGAACUGGAUGGCCCUGUUAUAGAUGAGUCUUUACUGACAGCAGAAGAAUUACUGGGGUUGCAGCAGGCUGAAGAACGACUUAAGGGAGACUACAUUUAUAGACUGAGGAAGCGACCUCGAAGCAACCCAACAGCUAAAUAUACUUGCAGGUUAUGUGACGUAUUGAUUGAGUCAGUGGCAUUUGCUCAUAAGCAUAUCAAGGAAAAAAGACACAAGAAAAACAUAAAGGAAAAACAAGAACAAGAACUGCUGAAUGCACUUCCUUCACCAACAGUUUUGCAAAUUGAAGCUAUUGGUAUAGCCGUUCAAAAAGUAGUAGAAGAGUUUGGAUUAAAUAAUGAAGAUGUAGAACAAAGGCUUGGAAUCAAAACUACUAUGGAGAAUGUAUUUCAACCAAAACUGCCAGGUUAUUAUGAUUAUACAUAGAUUUUUAUUUUAAUAACUUUUAACAUAUCAUUGCUUGUGAACA